rnacentral:rRNA from 1 species
AGAAUCAACGCUGGCGGCGUGCCUAACACAUGCAAGUCGAACGAGAAAGUGGAGCAAUCCAUGAGUAAAGUGGCGACCGGGUGAGUAACACGUGACUAACCUACCUUCGAGUGGGGGAUAACCUCGGGAAACCGAGGCUAAUACCGCAUAACAUCGUGAGAUCAAAGCAGUAAUGCGCUGGAGGAGGGGGUCGCGGCAGAUUAGCUAGUUGGCGGGGUAAUGGCCCACCAAGGCAGUGAUCUGUA